rnacentral:rRNA from 1 species
CAGUCGCCACGGGAAUACGAAGGGUGCAAGCGUUAAUCGGAAUUACUGGGCGUAAAGCGUGCGUAGGCGGUGAGUUAAGUCUGCUGUGAAAUCCCCGGGCUUAACCUGGGAACUGCGCUUGUGACUGCACAGCUAGAGUAUGGCAGAGGGGGGUGGAAUUCCACGUGUAGCAGUGAAAUGCGUAGAGAUGUGGAGGAACACCGAUGGCGAAGGCAGCCCCAUGGGCCAAUACUGACGCUCAUGCACGAAAGCGUGGGGAGCAAACAGGAUUAGAUACCCGCGUAGUCCCUGUCUCUUAUAC